rnacentral:rRNA from 1 species
GUGAGGAAUAUUGGUCAAUGGACGGAAGUCUGAACCAGCCAUGCCGCGUGCAGGAAUAAGGUCCUAUGGAUUGUAAACUGCUUUUAUUCGGGAAUAAACCUCUUUACGUGUAGGGAGCUGAAGGUACCGAAGGAAUAAGCACCGGCUAACUCCGUGCCAGCAGCCGCGGUAAUACGGAGGGUGCAAGCGUUAUCCGGAAUCAUUGGGUUUAAAGGGUCCGCAGGCGGGCUAUCAAGUCAGAGGUUAAAUCCCACAGCUUAACUGUGGAACUGCCUUUCAAACUGAUGGUCUUGAAUUAAGUGGGCGUUGGCGGAAUAUGACAUGUAGCGGUGAAAUGCAUAGAUAUGUCAUGGAACACCGAAAGCGAAGGCAGCUAACGAUACUUAUAUUGACGCUCAUGGACGAAAGCGUGGGUAGCGAACAGGAUUAGAUACCCUAGUAGUCC